rnacentral:rRNA from 1 species
UGGGAUAACUUCGGGAAACCGUAGCUAAUACCGGAUAAUAUUUUGAACCGCAUGGUUCAAAAGUGAAAGACGGUCUUGCUGUCACUUAUAGAUGGAUCCGCGCUGCAUUAGCUAGUUGGUAAGGUAACGGCUUACCAAGGCAACGAUGCAUAGCCGACCUGAGAGGGUGAUCGGCCACACUGGAACUGAGACACGGUCCAGACUCCUACGGGAGGCAGCAGUAGGGAAUCUUCCGCAAUGGGCGAAAGCCUGACGGAGCAACGCCGCGUGAGUGAUGAAGGUCUUCGGAUCGUAAAACUCUGUUAUUAGGGAAGAACAUAUGUGUAAGUAACUGUGCACAUCUUGACGGUACCUAAUCAGAAAGCCACGGCUAACUACGUGCCAGCAGCCGCGGUAAUACGUAGGUGGCAAGCGUUAUCCGGAAUUAUUGGGCGUAAAGCGCGCGUAGGCGGUUUUUUAAGUCUGAUGUGAAAGCCCACGGCUCAACCGUGGAGGGUCAUUGGAAACUGGAAAACUUGAGUGCAGAAGAGGAAAGUGGAAUUCCAUGUGUAGCGGUGAAAUGCGCAGAGAUAUGGAGGAACACCAGUGGCGAAGGCGACUUUCUGGUCUGUAACUGACGCUGAUGUGCGAAAGCGUGGGGAUCAAACAGGAUUAGAUACCCUGGUAGUCCACGCCGUAAACGAUGAGUGCUAAGUGUUAGGGGGUUUCCGCCCCUUAGUGCUGCAGCUAACGC